GAANNNGAUGAGUUUGAUCCUGGCUCAGAACGAACGCUGGCGGCAGGCCUAACACAUGCAAGUCGAGCGCGCCUUUCGGGGGUGAGCGGCGGACGGGGUUAGUAACGCGUGGGAAUAUACCCUUUUCUACGGAAUAGCCUCUGGAAACGGAGAGUAAUACCGUAUGAGCCCUUCGGGGGAAAGAUUUAUCGGGAAAGGAUUAGCCCGCGUUAGAUUAGGUAGUUGGUGGGGUAAUGGCCUACCAAGCCUACGAUCUAUAGCUGGUUUUAGAGGAUGAUCAGCAACACUGGGACUGAGACACGGCCCAGACUCCUACGGGAGGCAGCAGUGGGGAAUCUUGGACAAUGGGGGCAACCCUGAUCCAGCCAUGCCGCGUGAGUGAUGAAGGCCUUAGGGUCGUAAAGCUCUUUCGCCUGUGAAGAUAAUGACGGUAGCAGGUAAAGAAACCCCGGCUAACUCCGUGCCAGCAGCCGCGGUAAUACGGAGGGGGUUAGCGUUGUUCGGAAUUACUGGGCGUAAAGCGCACGUAGGCGGACCAGAAAGUUGGGGGNGAAAAUCCCGGGGCCCAACCCCGGAACUGCCUCCAAAACUAUUGGUCUAGAGUUCGAGAGAGGUGAGUGGAAUUCCAAGUGUAGAGGUGAAAUUCGUAGAUAUUUGGAGGAACACCAGUGGCGAAGGCGGCUCACUGGCUCGAUACUGACGCUGAGGUGCGAAAGUGUGGGGAGCAAACAGGAUUAGAUACCCUGGUAGUC
rnacentral:rRNA from 1 species